GGUGGCUCAGUGGUAGAGCGCUCGCCUAGCAUGCACGAAGCCCUGGGUUCAAUCCCCAGGACCA
rnacentral:tRNA from 1 species